rnacentral:ncRNA from 1 species
AUAUGAUUUAAUUGCAUAAAAGUCAUCUUUAGUGGCUAACCUUAGUGAGCCCCAAAUGGCUCACUAAAUUAAUUGUGAUUCCUUUGAUCAUAACUUACUACUUAGAUAACUGUGUCAAUUUUACAGCAUACAGCAAAGAUCCGACCCUCUCGGGACGAGCGCAUUUAUUAUACCAAAACCAGUCGGAACUUAUGUCCUUACUAUAUGGUGACUCUGCAUAACUUUGGCCAAUCGUAUGGGCUCGUCUCGUCGAAGUAUCUUUCAAGUGUCUGCUUUGUCAACUGUUCAGUGGUGAGUUACGCACCUACAAAGGUUGUAAUGCAUGAUGGAGAAUCAAGGUUCGUUUCCGGGAAGGAAGCCUAAGAAACAGCUACCACAUGCAAAGGUGGCAAUAAACGCUCAAAUUACCCACUUUCAGAAUAGGGAGGUAAUGAAGAAAAAUAUCAACACGAGACUCUUUUGAAACCCUGUGAGUGGAAUGAAUACACCCUAAAUCCUUUAAUGAUGAUCAAUUGGAGAGCAUGUCUGGUGCCAGCAGGUGCUGUAAUUCCAGCUCCAAAAGCUUAU